UGCUAAAAAAUGAAACAGAGAGGGGAGCCAGGACCUUUGCUUCUUGGAACCACCUAAUCCGUCCUAUAAUACCUUGCUUUGUAGGAAAGUUCUGUGCAUAAAUCCCAUAAAAUCCUGUAAUGUGGAGCUGACACUGAGCCUACCCAGAACGAAAUCUGCUAAUGAUCCCAGCUUGCCAGGGGCCUGCAGAAAUGAUCAGACACGUUGCGACCCCCCCCCCCCCAUUCCUGCCUCCUGCUUAAGCCCUUUCUGAAAAGAACUCUUUUCACGGGUUUAUAAAAACACUUUGUUCAGAUCACAUUGGGUCUUUAUUUCAUUUCAUCGUAGGUGAACGCUGAGCAGCUAUGGGGCCAGAAGGGGCUGAGGCUGGCUCUAAAGUUUGGGGACUCAGAGAAGACAACAGCUGCUGUCCCAUUACCUUGUGAGGGGAACCUGCGGGAAAUGAAUACACAGCCCCCAAUACCUGGCAGCAAUGGUUCUUCCUCUUCGGUCAUGUCACUGCACUGAGCAGCUAGAGCUCUAGCCUCAAGCAACCCACCCGACGUGCCGCAGCCUCCACAUCUUCUCUCAUCUGGCUCUCGGAAGUAACCGGAACCACACCACGCAGCUCCUUGAGGUCUGCAGACCCCUCACUCAAGUUAAAUCCAUAGUUUUUGUAAUGGAGAAUUAAGAAUUAACAAGUGAUUAUGAUUACUAAUUAUAUAGGUGUUUUUUCUUUCUAUAUUGCACAAUAGGCAGAAACUAUAUAGAAAUUACCGAAACUCAGCUAGUCUCAGCCUUGUGAACACCAACUACUGUAAUGGUUAUUCUAGCCUGGUCUCAGCCCCGCUUUCAGUUACUACUGAAAUGGUAACAACUCCAU